AGGUAUUUGACUCGCACAUUCCAUAAUGCCUUAUUUAUAGGAAAAUUCUCAAUUAGCUUAGUCAAGUGGACACUUGAAGAUUCAAUAAAGUUUCGGGAAGUCUACGAUCAGGUGAAAAGUAGAUCUAGAUCGGUGGCGGGAACGUGUGGAGGCAUGCAGCUAUAGAAGGGGCCCUUAGAUUGAGUCCUCUUCUCCCAUGUCGUUUUGGUUAUGAUUUUGAUGUUUUUGGAAAAACACGCGAUAUUUUGCAACUAUUUCCUUUUGAUGUGACUCCGCGGGUUCUCGUUAUGUGUUUUGUAGUAAUUUUGAUAUUUUGAAAUGUAUAUCAG